CAAAUUUUCAGUUUUGCUGACUCGAAUGAGUAGUAUAAUUCCGAUUCCGAGCCCACGUUCAUCAAUACCCCCCAGACGGCCACCCGACCCCUCUUCCUCCCUCUUCUUGCCGCAACCCGCCGUCUCUUUCAAGGGCAUUCCAGACGGCAUCGUUUCACCCAACAUUUCUCGAGGAGAAAUGCAACCUGUAAAUCUUCUAAUUACUUUCCGAUUAUGUUUAAUCUUUUACUGUUAAGUUUGAUUAUUGAUUUUGACAUUUGCAAUAUUCGAAAUCUCAGAUCUUAAUAGCUACAGAAGAAUCCCAUUUUCUUCUCCGAAUAUUGAACGGCAGCUUCCAAACCCUCGACAUGUUAAAAGAUCAGAUUUCGCAUAUUUUUAGCGAAUUUUUCUGCUCGAAAUCCAACCUCAACUUAAUUGACCCAAUGUAAGUAAUUAUCUUUUUAUUUUAUUCUAGAAUAUGGAAUUUUUAAUUUUUUUAGUCAGUUUAUUGAGUGUGAAAAUAGGAGUGUAAAUGCCGACCAAAAUGAGCUAAGGGCAAAAGAGUGGUCGUCAGAAAAUAAGGAAUUCUCGAAUGGGAAAGGGGAUUCUGGCGGCGCAGUUUUUAAUGCAUUGGAUGCAAUGUUAAAGUCCAGUUUGAAUCGUUUAAAAGACAUGAGGUUUGUUUGAUAAUAAAUUUCUUGCUAUCUUACUGAUUUAUAUUAUUUGUUUAUUUUUCAUAUUAAAUCAGCCUGUUCUUCUCCUGUUUUUCCUGAUAUUUAUUAGAGAAAUCCUUGUUUCUGGUGAAACUAAAACUGCAUAAUACGACAAUUGCAUUGCUCGUGAAUCGUGAUUAUUGAAUAUUGAUUUGGUGUAAUUUUAGCAUUUAUAAUCUAAUGGAAUUUUAGAUUUAAAAUAUGUGUUUUAAGUGCUUGAGGUAAUUUCUAAGAAUGCAGAAACUUAUUUCUUAUACUAAUGGCAAAAGCAAAGGAGGGGUGGGAGUGGUCAGCUUUCAACUUCCAGAAUUCUUUAUAUUGUAGAGAAUUUGACUUUAACUUUUUGUAAUGUCAUUGUGAAACAUUGUAUGAAACAUGAUCAGAAAAGAAACACUAUUGAUGAGAAGAGAAUGACGUGACUGAAAAAGGUGUUGCAUGAUAUUACACCAGAAUCAGAAAAAUACACAAAGUAUAGUUCAGUAAUAAUUUCUGUCAAAACAUCACAGACUCCAUUCGACUACAGGACUCAAGGUAUCAUCGAUUUUGGGCUCAGAGACACAUUGUAUCCUUCUGUACAACAGGAAACCCCAAAUAUCCCAAGCCAAAAUAGACUCGACUUGGCUACUUCAACGGACCGACUGAAAAACCCCCCAAAAACCAGAAUCAACUCCUUUCCUUUCUCUAGAAUCACAUAGACUCUUUAGAUCACAAAGAAUACCACCCAAGAUCACAGAAGAUUCAAGGGAAAACCACAAAGUAGACGAAGAGAGAUCGAAGGAAGAAAAGAGACGAUUCAGAAAACCCUAGUCUAGAGUGUUCUAAAACUGUUCGAGAGAAAAACGCGUAAAAUGAGAUUAGGUUAGGAAAAAAUAUCAGACGAUAUAUAUAUAUAUAAGGGCUCAUCACGGUAGAUCUAGAUUAGGGGGAUCCAACGGUCCGGAGUAUCACAUGUGGCCGUGUAUAUGGGCUCGGGUUUUGGGCCUCCUCAUUGUGUUAUCGGGCAAUGUGUGUAGUAUCCAAUCACUUGGGCCCAAUUGUUUGAGUUGUAAUUCCAAAAUUGGCAUCACAAUUCAAACACAUGACAUAUUUUAUUGCUCUCAGACAACCCAGGUCCUUCUCAGGGAGUGAAGUAGGGGUGGGUGCAGCAUCUUAUAGCCUACCUUCGUCAAGAUUAUAUCUGUGUCGACAUGUGUUAGUAACACACAUUUGCUGCAGCUCUAGUUCCCUUAAUAAUUGACUCAAUCACUUGAAUCCAGACCACCUUCAACUAUCCAUCUUAGUUUGUGAGUAUGAAACUGAAGAUUAUUAUUAUUAUUAUUUAGCUCACUUUUAAUUCAUUUAUCUAUAUACAGGUUUUUUCCUUUUGUUUCUUUUUACUGAUCAAAUAAUUUGUUUUUUUUCCUGUGAUAUGUGGCAUUGUUAUAGAGGAUCAUAUGAAACUUAAUGUCGGUGACAAAUUUCAUGAGUAAGAUUGUAAUAUUUAGUUGUUAAUACGUAUGAUUUUAAAAUGAUUUUUGGAAUUCUGCAGGGAAAGCAUAUCUUGGGGCCAUAGUGGCACCAUACCUGAAACAAAUUAUUGUAAAGAUGUAACUGUGAUAAGAGCUUUCUGUUUGCAAGGUAAAGUAGGUGUAGCUUUCCAUCUUUGGAAUAAUACGAUUCAGAAGUGUGCAAUUCCUGAUAUUCUCACGCACAAUUACCUUAUGAAUGCACUUUGCAAAAGCGGUGAUCUGGGAAGGGCAGAGUGGCUUGUUGCUGAGAUGUUAGACCGGGGUCCUUUUCCCACUUGUGCUACCUACAACACGUUAAUGAAGGGUUAUUGCAUUAGGAAUAAUGUGGAUAAAGCUUUGGAUCUUUUUUCUACCAUGGCUAGUCUUGGGAUUACACCAAACAUAGUUUCAUGUAAUAUUCUUGUUGAUGGACUUUGCAAGAAGGGUUUGUUGGAGGAUGCCAGAAAGCUUCUUGAGAAAAUAUUGGUUGAUGAUCAUGAUGGAAAAACCUCAAAUAUGAUAACCUCGACUAUCCUAAUGGAUGGUUACUUCAAAACUGGAAAUAUUGUUGAAGCCCUCACUUGUUUGGAGGAGAUAUUCCAAAGUGGCAUAAGGAUGGAUGUCGUUGCAUAUAAUGUCAUCAUACAUGGAUUUUGUUUGAAUGGACACAUGAACCUUGUGUAUAAGUACAUAAGCGAAAUGUUUAAAUGUGGUUGCCUGCCAGAUGUGUUUACAUACAAUAUCCUUAUUGGCAUGCUUUGCAAAGAAGGAAAGACAAAUGAGGCUUGCUACGUCUUUAACGUGAUGUCAAGAAUGGGUGAGACCCCUGAUCACAUCACAUACAAAGUGUUAAUUCACGGUUUAUGUAUUAGUGGAGAUGUAGAUAAAGCUAAUGCUUACCUUCACUGCAUGUUAGUAAAUUCGAUUAUACCUGAGCCACUCAUUUGGAAUGUCAUAAUUGAUGGCUAUGGGAGGCAUGGAGAUAUACAAAAAGCUUUCUUUGUGAGAGACCAAAUGGUUGCAUUUGGUGUUCUGCCCAAUAUAUAUACAUAUAAUAUCAUGAUUCACACAGUAAUAAGAAAUGGAAAUAUUGAUGACGCUCACUAUCUGAAGAAGGAGAUGCUCUUAAAUGGUCCUUUCCCCGAUUUAGUCACUUACAAUCUGUUUGUGCAUGCUGCUUGUAAUCUCGGUCAUAUUAAUUCUGCACUCCGGCUGCAUAAUGAAAUGCUGAGAAGAGGAUUUGAUCCAGAUAUAAUAACUUAUACUGAACUACUCAAGUGUCAUUGUCUGAGAGGUAAAUUGAAGGAUGCAGAAGAGCUCUUUAUCAAGAUAUGGGAGUCAGGUUUACCAAUUGAUCAUGUUCCAUUUCUAAUACUCAUGAAGAAGUAUUUCAAGAUGAGAGAUCUUGACAAAGCAUAUGAUCUUUAUCAAAUGUGGUUAAAGAGGGGAAGUUGAAAAUAGCUCUAUAUCAAGGCACAGUGGUCAGGUUUACCUGUUGACCAUGUUCCAUCUCUAAUACUCAUGGAGAAGUACUGCAAGACACGAGAGAGAGAGAGCUAGCGAGCGAGUACUUGACCUUUGUCAAAUAUGGUUUAAGAGGGAAAAUGAGAAUGCUGUCUUUGCGCAUUGAUCAUUUCUCAGUUUUCUGAUCCAGAAUGUCUGCAGUUGUUUCUCAAUUUUUCUAGUUUCAGGUGGUAAAAGCUUCCUGCUCAUUACGUUAUGGCUGGGAUCUGCUUUUGCAGGUAUAGUCUUUAUUUCUGUUCUUUUCUCUCUUUUUGCUAGUUUUAAUUUAAUAUUGUAAUUCUCAAUUUCUUUCUGUUUCUGUCUGUCUCUUUCUUUAUGUUAUUGCAUUAUAUAUUUCUAUCGUAUGUUAGAAGAUCUCUCAUUCAGGAAUCCUUUUCCUUCUAGCAUUAAGUGCUGAGAGUGAAUUGGGAUUUUCGUUUUUCUUCUUCUGUAAGAAAUUUAGAAUGGUGCUAUGUAUGGUUCAUUGUCUGAUGCUGUUUACAGAAAUCUGGACUUAGAUAUAUUAUACGUGAGCAAUCUAUCUUGUGUUUUAUGCGUAAAAGUUUGGCUGAUUUAAAAGAUGUAUGUUAGACAAUGAUGUUUUUAAUUUCAACCUGAUAAUAUUAAUGUUGAUAAUUAUUAGAUCGCUCACUUUUUCUUUUUUAAUAAAUGAUAUUAAUAUUAAAGUUGACAUUUCUUGAACAAUUGUUGAAUGAAUUAUAUAUUAGAUGAUAUAUAUAAGGAUGCAAUCUCGUGACAAAAGGUCGUAGUUCUUCAAAUGACAAGUUUUUGCUUCAUCUCACAUUUCAUACUUGCUAUAGAAAUUAUGCGUUGAAUUUUUUGCAUAUUUCAUAUUUUUCUUAUCAAAUAUUCCAAUGUAUAACGACAGCUUCCUUUUAUGCAGUUCUUUUACCAAUUUCUCUUUAUUAUUUAAUGACUAAAAUCCCUGCUUUUUUGACAUUCUCAGUUCUACAGAUAAUACUUGAUGGUUGAGCAUGCCCCUUAACAGGGCCUGCGGCACCCCAUGAAGAGAACGAGCCUGCUGAUGUAUGCCUAUGAAUGACGAGCCUUGCAGCUGGCUAGCAAGAUACAGAAAACUGGAAGGAAAAUAUGUAGGAUUUCUUAUUCACUGGUCCCUGUGCGGUUUGGGAGAUCUUAUUUAUGGAAACGAGACAUAUAUCCCUUAUGCCGUACCCAAUGGAAUUUCAUUUAGCGUCAAGGCACGAGUUCACAUUAUUGCUCAAUAACCCUCUUGCCGCUCCAGGCUUGGUACCAACUAUUAGGAUUAGAAGCUAGGUGAUCAAGCUUCUAUGUCCUUGGGCUUUAUAUGUUGAAAACACUGACUUUUCAUUUGUUUUCUUUAAUUGUAGUUGCUAAACCCUGAUGUUCUUUUCAUUGUUUUCCUCAGGAACUAUGUGAUAUCUUCAGAUGACUGUAAAUUCAAGACCCGGGGAUAGUGUAAGAUUCUGUACCAUAAAACUCAAUUGGGAUUUUAAAUCCCAAGUUUAAGUUCGCAGCGACGUUCACAUUGUUAGCAAAGGAUAAUCUGUGCGUCUAGCCGAGCUUAAAAGUAAUUUUAUUUUAGAACAUGUUUGGUUAUGUUAUUUUUUUGUAUGUAUUUUGUAAAUGUAGCUAAGCGUUUACUUGUCAAGUAGAUGGAUAAAUUUUAAAAUAAAUAAAUAUUUUAAUCAAAAUUUGGCAUAUAUUAUA
rnacentral:lncRNA from 1 species